GACAAUGUACUGAGUAUGUAAAGCAUAAGGUAAAGAUGACAGGAUACCAAUGUGGCAAGUCGAAACAAAAUAUCGUUACACAUAUACUUUUUAAGUGAAAAUCAUGCAUAUAUUUAACAUUUAAGGUGCCCAGCUUCCCUAGUAAGGGGCUCGGCAAAAUAAUCAUCACGUCAUCUCCGUCAUCAUCAUCAUCAUAACCAUCCUCAUCACCAAUCAUAUAUAUAAUAUACAUACCCGGCCCUCUAGUGAGGAACUCGGUGACAUAUGCAAGAAACUCCGCACGAACAUUACCCGGCCCGAGACUCGGUGAAAUGAUAAAUGACUCUAUGCACGAGCAGAAUAUUAUGAGCAACCAUAUGCAAUUAAAAUCAUUUCUUAUAACUCAAUAGAACAAUCAACGUGAACCAGCAAGGAGUAUUACCAAAGAUUAAUGUUUUAUCAAGAUUAUGAACCUUUAAUACGAUAUGGAAACGUAAAAUUUUAAUGACUCUAAGAAGCAUUACCAUAGAUAUUAGAGAUCAUCAUAGCCUUAGACAUAGCCGAUAUAUAGAGGAAUAAUUGUGGAAGCAAGAAUAUACAUCACCUAGACGCUUUUAGAGGUAAGUAUCAAAUCUGUCCGUUAUUCGCUUAUUUUUAAAAGUCAUGCCAAGCAAAGAAAGAAGGGACAGCGUUACAUACCGUAUAAUUGAGCCGCACGUCCAAUAUUUACUGCUCAGCUAUUAAUCUAUAACAAGCAACAAUUGUGCCGCAAUUAGAUAAACAUCGUGCUUUACUUUCUUGUAAGCUAGCUAAUAAUCUAACGAAAAUUCGGCAGCACCUCCCCUAUUUUCCUUACUUCGUCCCAAUCCGACAACAAUCCAAAUUAUCCACAUCAAUACCAAUAACACAUAUAACCCAAAGAAUCAUAUAAACAGCCCAAGCACCAACAUGACACCACUAAUAAUCCGAUUAUGGUUUCCAUUCAUACUUAGCACAUUCAAUAACUAAAACAAACUUCCUAAGCUACUGGUCACGCCCCCUUCUUAAAAUUAAUGGAUAAUUAACAAGGGUAUUCUAAAGAAUUAACACACCAAACAAGGAGAUUACUAACCAAAUUAUUUGCAGCUGCUGGCCAAGAGUUGCAGGGUUGGUUUCUCCAUUUCCAUGGCUGCCUAAGACAGGUGGUGAAGAAGAAGAUGAUAUGCAGCAAUGAAUUUCACCACUUUAUAUAGCAUGGAGUGGAUUUCUCCACCUCAUUUAAUAGUAUGGAGUGGAGGCAGCCCCCCUCUACACCUGUCCACUAAGGCCAGCCCACAAUCUGAUCCCUUUUUAAUUUUUGCCUUGAGUGGUGGGGCCCAUUGGAUUAAAUCAAUCCAAAUUAGCCACUAAUUAAUCCCUCACUUAAAGUUAAUGGCACUUACAUUAACCAACUCAUACUUAAUAUCACAUUUGGAAAUAACAUCCUUGCCUAAUAUUUCUUUACGUCUUCUAGAUCACGAUGCGCACUACGUAUAAAAAAAAAUACGAGGCAUAACAUUAUUAUAAGGAAUACUACCAUUAUUCCUGUCUUGUAUUUUGGUUCUUACCUUAUCUGCAAAAAGAGGAGGUAAGCCACUGAUGAAACGUUCCUUCCAGUAAUCCAAAUUGCAAUCUGGACGGAUAAUGACUUUGCUCAAAAAAGCAUGUCUGUAGUGGAUGAAGUUGUCUAUGUUUGGGCAACUUAGAUUACUCAGAAUUUGGAGACUUCUGUCCUGAAAUAACUUAGGUUCUCCACUAAAAUGUUUAGCAAUAUGGUAAAGCAAAGUGGCACAAGCGUCUUCCCUUGUUUGAGUAGAAGUUGUUUGUGUGUUACCUUCCAUCUUUACAACAGUUUCAUUUGCUGUUGCGGUGAUAAUGAGAUGCUUGACUUCGUCAGUGCAGUAAUUGUCCCACCAAUGUUUUAACAUUCCAGUGAAACCUGCAAUAAUCAUAUUUGCAGCAUCUGUGUCUGAGGACCCUCGCAUUUUGUAUGCGGUGAUGGCUACUCCCAUUUCAUGGAGUUUAUUGUAAACUUGAUGUUCUACAAGGCCAUCAAUAUUCCAUUCAGUGAUGCUCCUUCCUUCAUGAGAUGAAGUGGAUAAGAAAGCAUUUUCUUCAUACUGCAAAUCUGGAAAAGAUGGUUUGCUGUGGUAGUUUUUCAUGUUAUGAAAACGACUAUUUCCAAGUUUUUGGAGAAGAUUAGUUUUUUCUGAAGAUGGGUUUGGAUUGGUUUGGAUUGUGGAAACACUUUCUUUAUCUUUCUUUUUGGAGAUGUUAAAGUUAUUGAGUUGAGUGUUGAUUUUUUCGAUGAUACUUCCUGUAACUUCAAAUGUAUUAGAAAGUUUUGGGAAUUUUUCUUUGGAAAAUUCAGGUAUUUUAAAUCCUGGGUAGGUUUCAAUUUCAUGAUUGGAUGAAGUAGAAGCCGGUGUUGGUCUUCCACUAUGAUAUGGUCUUGCGUCUUCUAUUUGUCUAGAGAUCACAUGGAGGAGUUGGUUUGUAUAGUUGUUUUGUUCAAUAACUCUAUCAAUAUCUGCAGCAACGAGUAAUGCGCCUGUCUUAUCACUCUUCUCUUUGAAGGGAGAGGCUUUUAUCACUGUACCUGCAAUAGGAAUAUUGAUUCCUUCAAGAGGAGGAGUAGUAGAUUCUAUUACUUUGUUAGAAGAUGUAUACCAUUUAUUAAUGAUAACUUGUAAAGACUCAGUACAAUUUUCAAUUCUACCAGUCAUUUCAAACCACUUGAAGAAUUCGAUUUCACAACCUAUUCUUCUCAUAUCUUUCAUCCAAAUUUCCCUGAAAUUUUCUCUUUGCUUAAGAGUAUAAGAGGAAACAUACCAUUUUCUUCUAACUUGAUUGUCAGGGUGAAUCCAUUGUUCUUGUAGAAUAGUUGGAUUAGGUUCAAAGGGUUUGUUUACCUUUAACAUUCCCAACCAAGUAGGCUUAUCAGUAGGCGGUUCCAUCUCGCUUGCUGUAGGACUCCCUGAAAUGUCUUGGUAGUAAACUUUAGGUACAUUACCUCUGAAAUCAACCCCUGUUACCUUACCUUUACUAUUGUCUAUUUCACUGUUUGCAAUAGUAAUGUUGUCUUCCUCGUCCUCGAAAGUUUUGGAAGAAGAUGGUUGGUGAGUCGUCUUAGAAGGGCACGAAGAGGAGGGUGACCAAGACGAUCGUCGAGCAGAUGAAGAUCUCAUUGAUGGAUUCUCAAGAAAUUUUAGAUCAAUAGAUCCAUCGGGAAACUGGAUAACCAUUUCUAUUUGGGAUCGUGGGGGAUGAGAAGUAAAAGGUUGCGUAAUGUUCUCAAAAUGCCAUUCGUUAUUUGAGAGAAUAUCCUUCCAUUGUAAGGUUCUAGGAACAAAAAUGGAACUAUGUGAGUGGUUAGCUUCCAUGAGCAUGGUUUCUCCUCUGACGCUUUCAAGACACGCUUUUGGAGCAAGUUGAGUUUUCAUAAGUCUAUAAUAGACCCUAUAGACUACAGCAAUUUCUCUAGAAUCAGUUUUGCUAUUGAGAUUUUUGGUUUUGACAUUGAGAGUCAGAGUGUCUGUGACAUUAGGAUCAUUAAUGUCAACCGAGAAAUUAGGAUAACAGUUGAAGUAAACUGGUCCAUCAGUGAGAUUACUUUGAAGUAAUCCAAGAAGGGAAUCAUCAAAAUUAAGAAAUCUGUCAUCUCUAAGGAGAACGCAGACAGGAAUAUCAAGACCUCUUCUGAACAGAGGUUUUACAGCAACUUGAACUAAACCAAUAUGCAAAUAGUUGAAGCUAGAUUUGUACCUGUCUAGAUCUUUGUCUUUAAGAAGACGAACAAUUUCAGAAGAAUUGUUAAUGGCAAUAGUAGAUUCACAAGUUUUAAUAUUGCAACGAGUGAGGAAACUGAAGUUACCUAAUUGAUAAAUCUUUUUGAAAGGUUCUUCUGGAAUACUCCAGUUUUGUAAAUCAUUUUCAAUUUUAGCAAUCUUUGUUGAUUGCGAAGAUAUAUUAAUUUUAUUCAAAAUAUUUUGAUUUUUAUCCAUAAAUGAAGAAGAACUGUCUAAAGGACUUACAAGACAAAAUUUAAGAUAUCAAGUAAACAUAAGUCAAAUAUGUUGGGGUUUAAGUAAUAUUAAUAAAAUAUAAUUCAAAAUCUUUUAUAAAUUAUUCUAUGAUAGGUGCUCUUGGUCUGACAAUCAAGUUCAUUCUGAUAGAGUCAUCUUAGUUACGGGACCACCAAUAGUACUAACUCUUUGACGCCCUCCUGGCUAUAGCGAGUGUUCCAAGUUCAGGCUGACCAACGCAUGCUCCGGAUAUUAAUCGGACACCUCAUACUCAUAUCAGAAGAACGAUACGCCUCACACCAAGUAUAGAAUUAAUAUAAAAGAAUAAGAAGUAUAAAAUAUUAAGCAAAUACUUAAAACAUAACAUAUAGAAUUAUAGAUUACUUCAUAAAUUAAUUUUGUAAUGCCUUAGACAGUAUUUAUAUUUAGCUGCUCAUACUAAAUAUGAAUACUGCCAACAUGGCUUUGAUACCAUAAAGGAUCAUAAGUAAUGCGGAAUUAAAGGAGAAGAAAGCUUACAAAGAAAAUGACUUUUAUUCAAACUUCAAGCAAACUUCAAACUUCAUUGUACAUAGAGAGAGAGAGAUAUUCAGAAUACAGUAUGAAUUUUUUGAUGAGCUCUAAUGGGAAUUCUAAUCCUCCUUUAUAGAAGGGAAAAUAAAUGCCUUUUAUCUCAAGGCUUACAAGUGGAUGGCUGAGAUAUUGCCGACACUGGGGGAGCUAUCAAAAGAUAAUGGGAAUCUUCUCUUUUGAUAAUGCAUCUUCUUUUGAUAAAGGCAAUAGUGCUUUCCAAAAGAGCUUUGUCCUUUAGCCUCUCAGUGGAUGCCAGUUUAGAGAAUAAUGAAAGUUACUAACACAAAAGAUAAUUCCGGCUUUGCCUCUAUCUUUUGUGAAAGGUCAUUUCCUAUUCAUUAGAGAAUAAUGAAAGUUACUAACGUAAAAGAUAAUUCCGGCUUUGCCUCUAUCUUUUGCGAAAGGUCAUUUCCUAUUCAUAAUCUGGGUCCAUGUAGGCCAAGGCUAAACCUUUGGGAUUGCACAUGUCACCAUUAUCGUCAUCUUCUCCUUCAGAAGAAGCAGCAUCCUUGAGUAGUUUGAAGAUCUGUUCCUCAGAAUGAUCUUCGAUGUUGUCCAUAGCUUCCUUCAAUUUUUGUUUGAGGGCUGCUUUGGAUAAUUUCUUUUGAGAAGUCUGGACUUUCUCAGUGUUUUGUACUGCUGAAUUUCCUUGCUGUUUAGGAACCCAACCUUUUACCUGUAUUUGUUUGCACAAAUAAUUGAUGCGAUCUAUUUCGCUUUUGACAAAGUUCCAAGUGAUGAUAUAAGAGAUUCUUUUCUUAAUGUAAUAUUGAGUAUAGUAAGCGAAGUAGUUCUAGUUAAGAAUGAGACUAGAUUACAAAGCAUGUCCUUCAUAUUCCUUAACCAUGUGCAAAGCAUGCCCUUCAUAUUCCUUGACCAUGUGACUACAUGGGAUGUGUCUAAGUUCUACCAUUGGCAAGUAGAACACCCUUAAUGGAGUAGGUUAGAACUCCGGAUUCAAUGUCUAGCUAUCAUGGUCUAUGUUGGUUAUUGCCUCUUAUCAUCAUGUGGGAUACAUAAUAGCAUUAGAUAAGUUGUAUAAAGUUUAGGUUGUCGUAUGGGACACUAUCUAGACAUUGCACCACAGACUUUUAAGGUGUUAGUUGGAGUCCCUAUGUCUUGUCCAAGACCAAUACUUGAAUGUCCUUUACGUGAUGUGUGAGUCUCUAAAUGAACAAACGAACUAAUGAGUUAUGUUAUGAAGUAUGUAGAUCGAAUAAGUACUAAUCUAUAGUAGUUAAGGGUUUUCUUGGUAAGGUAUGAAGGGUGCAUAGGAAUGGUCACAUUGUAUCUUACUUAGAUGAGUCUUAAGAAUGAAUCUAGUUAAGGAAGAUGUUGAUUAUGUGGACAUUAUUCGAGCUUAGGAAGUCUUAAGGAUUAAUUAGGUAGUCUUGAGAGGUCAAUCAUGGAUGUUAUCUUCUUGAUCUAUGUAAGUAAGUCUUCUGAUAGUCUUUGAUGAGGAAAUGUCAUAUUAUCUAUAUGUUGAUACACUUGAUGAGAAUGACUCUAUCAUAAGUAGUUUAUAGGAUCUGUUGACUGUGUUUUUAAGGGAUUGGAUGGGCGGCCGCUUCACAACUCGCUCAAGUGAGACUUAGAGUCCUCUUUGGUAGAAGAGUCUCACAUUAAUGUUUAUGAUGUAUUGUAAAAGAGUAUGUAUCUCAUUAUAAGUAGUCUUGAGGGUCAUUUAGGUAUGCCUAGAGAGGUUGUAUGAACGGUCUCUCUUGGUGUUACUUAAGUGAGUGUUAGGAUAGCUUUAAGUGGGAAACUACAUACUAGAAGAUGUCAAGGGGGAUGACGAGCAAGUGCACUGUACAGUGAAGGAACUUCACCAUAACAGUGAUUUGAGUUACAAGAAAUUGUCUUAUAAAAAAUGUGAUAUUUUGCGUAAAUGUUAUCCUAUGUGAUUUUAAGUUGUUAAAUGUUGUUCUUAUGAUUAUAAUAUGAUUUUAAAUGAAAAUAUGCAUAUUUCUACUAAAUGUUCAUUUUCAUGAUUUUUAUGCAUUAUGCCAUACUUAGUUCAUGUGGUUAUACUAAUCCAUGAUUUUAUUUAUCUCUAUAGUUCUAGGUAGGUGAGGAGCUUUUGGGAAGUGAAGACUUGGAUCGUAACAUCGUUCAAGAGAGGUUGAAGUAUGUCCUUAUUUAACUUGAGGGAAUAUAUGUCUUUUAUGUUUUCUAUUUGAAGUAUUGUAAUAGACUAAGUAUUUCUAUACUAUUAAUGAAGUAUGGGUCAUGCCCCAAGCAUUAUUGUGUCUUAACAUGAUUAGAUUGACACUUAGUAUUUUCUCUUGCUUUACAUGAAAGUGUUUUUAAAGACUAUGAAGUAUGUUUUGUGAAAAUUUUUAAUUCCACACUAAUUUUUACUAUGUUUAUGCAAUGAAUGAUAUGUAACUCCAAGAGGUCAAGUACACCGGUUGCAAUCCGAGAUUGCCCCUAACUUCUAGUUUGUGGUUUUGGGAUGUGACAAGCUUUGUAUCAGAGCAUAGGUUGUGAAUGUAGUAUUUGGACGAAAUGUCUCAUCAAGUCAUGUUUAGUAGAGUGUUGACCAUCUUUGUGAGUCGCGACACAUCUAUAGGCGAUAGGCUAUAGGACAAUAGAGUUUCCCUUCUUUUCUACUCCUAUGUCAUGGCGUAGAGUAAAUUUUAUGAGUAUUCUUUUAUUAUGGUUUUCCUUGUGUUUCUAGGAAGGUGAAUACGAGGAGUACACCGGAUAGAAGAGUUGGAGAGAAUUAGGUGUAAGAGCAGAUCCCUCCUCAAAUUGAGGAAGUUGAGCAAGUUCCUCAAGGUUCUAAUGGUGCUCAAGGUUCUUAAGGUGAUCAAGUCCCUAAUGUGGAAUGAGGUAAUGAGGUUCCAGAGGUUCAUCCGGAGUUGACUAAUAGGUAGAUUAGAGAGGCUUUGGUUGCUUUAUCCCAAGUCGUCACUACUCAAAUAGAUUUGAGUAUGAUUCCUAGGGUAAAUGUUGUAAAGAGGACUAUGACGUAUAAGUUAAGAGAUUUUGUGAGGAUGAAUCCUCCUACCAUUCUUGUCUCUAAGGUGGGAAAGGAUACCAAGAGUUUCUUGAUGGAGUAUACAAGGUGUUGAGAGCUAUGUUGGUUACAUCUAGGGAGAUAGCGGAGUUUGCCUCAUAUAAAUUGAGGGAUAUUUCUUAAAUAUGGUACAAUCAAUGGAAGGAUAAUAGGCCAGAGGUAUCUGGUCCUAUUGAGUGGGAGGAAUUUAAAGAAGCUUUUCUGGGUUAGUACUUUCCCCGUGAGAAGAUGGAAGUUAAGGUGGAGGAGUUUAUAAAUCUGAAACAAGGAAUUAUGAGUGUUGAGGAAUACUCUUUGAAGUUCUCAAUGUUAUCUAGAUAUUCCCCUUCUCUUGUGUCUAACCCAAGGUAUGAAAUGAGUUGCUUCGUGACCACAUUCGCAGACUUAGGUAGGGAAGAAUGUUGUACGGCGGUGCUACAUGAUUAUAUGAUUGUAUCUAGACUCAUUGUAUACGCACAAUCAAUUGAAGACUACAAACUUAGGAGGAUGUCUAGAAGUUCGAAAAGGAGUAGUACUAGUGAUAAAGGGCAACCUAGGUUUAAGAAGAGGGCACAAGUUCAUGAAGAACCUAACAGUGUUAAGGUUUAAUUGGAGAGAGGAGGUGCUUCUCAUAAUGUCAAGCUUACAUGUGUCACUUGUGGAAAGAAACAUUAUGUUGAGUGUCUAUUGGGUACCGGGAGUAGCUAUGGUUGUGCUAAGGAAGGAUAUAAAGUGAUAGAUUUUCCUAUGAUUAAUACUAGAGGAAGAGAGAGUAUGCAGGUUACUCCUAGUGUUCCAAAGGAUGAUGCUCCAACAAAGAGGCCUUUCUAUGCAUUCCAAACUAGAGGAUCAAAUACGGAUGAAAAUGGUGAUGAUGAUGAGGGUAAGUCCUUGCAUUUAUUUUUAGAAAUAUGAGUUCCUUCUAAGUGGGGGAGUAUGGUUAGAAGAUGGCAUAGAAUGAUAUAGAAGUAUGUUGUAUGUGCAUUGUGUUUAGAAGUUUUUUUAAAUUCAAUUCUAUUAGCUUCUUGCAUCAUGUGUUUUAUGAAGUUAUGAUCAUGUGGUAACAUGUUUUUAUAUGAUGUUACUUUACGCAUUAGAACGUUUGUAUCAUGAAUUGACUAAAAUAUAGAUUUUUGAAUUUUUUUUGAUGAAUUCACUAUAAGGGUGUUGGUAGCUCAUUGUAAUAUUUUUAAGAAAUUGUCUAAUUGAUUCUUUGGUCUAAAAUUGUUGCAAGGUGGUUAGAACUAAUGUAUAUGAUUAUGAUAUUGAAUAUAAAAUGACUUUUCGUUAUUUAGAAUGAAGCAUGUGAGUUUUGAAGCAUGAUGAGUUAUAGAAUUGUCUUCUAGUUCUUAAUCUGUUGUGAAUCUCUUGACUAUGUGAAAUUAAUGUUUUCUUCUUUGUGUUGAAUAGUAUGUUUAUAAGCUACUAGUUAAAUAUCUAUUCUUGGAAGUGUUCAGAGAGUGGUAAGCGUCAUUCGAGGACGAAUGGUGUCCGAGUGGGGGAGAUUGUAAGACCCUGAAAAUAACUUAGGUGAACUAGAUCCUAACAUUCUAAUGUGGAAAGGUUUUCCUUGAAACGACCUUGUGUGUCUAAGCAUGUUUCGUUGAGUUUUACGUGUUAGUUUUGGAAGAAAUUAAUUUGAGAGGUGAUAAAAUCAUAUACAAUCAUGUUUGGGUUGGAAAUGUCUGGUCAAACAUCCCUAAGGACCAACCAAGGGCCCUUGAGGGAGGACCCAUACUUGGAGUAAAGACUGUACCAGGCAUCCCCAAACCACGGAGGCAUCAACGACUCGUGGGCCUAUCGACACCCCCGCCGAUUGGUGUUGUUGGUAGGGAUAUAGACUUGGAAGGGAGGAGAACCAUGUAAAGCCUCUUAACUGACGAAGGAAGGACAUGAUGGUGUGCUUGUGGAAAAAUGGUUCGUCGACUACCCAACCAUCGAUGGCCUAUUUUCCUCUACAGCCUCACUGUUAUAAUAUCACCCCACUUCCAAAUAGAAUUUUUUAGUUUGUUAGGGAGUAUUUUGGGUAUUAUAAACAUGUAUAUUAGUGUUUACACUUAGAAGAUUUAAUUCCUCUAAAUCAAAAUCCCAAAAUCUCUUAGAAUUCUCUGUAGGACUCCAUUGAAGUCCAAACUCAAGAAAGGGAUUAAGGUGACGAACUGAGUGGUGAUUCUUCAUUAAAGUGAAGAAAAGCUUCAUCAAGGUAUGUAUUUUGAUCCUUGAAACCCUCUUCAUCAAGAAGCCCCAAUACUCAAGAUGUUUUCUAAAGUUUUCAAGUUGAACUGUCUCAUUUCAUGAAGCUUUUUAAUGAUGUACGAAUUGUGUUCAAUUGAUAUCUAGGUUGUAUUAUAUUGAUGAAUCUCAAUUGAAUUGACCUAGUUUCAUUGAUUUUCAUAGUUUCUAUAUGGAAUUAUUGUUCAUGGCCACAUAUAAGAGCCUUAUGGUGUUGAAUUGGUUGAUUUGCUAUCAACUUGAGGUUUUGAGGAUGGAGUGGUGGUAUGCUGCCCUAUUACCUUUAUUUUGAUGUCGUUUAUACUUCAAUUAUGUUUUUAUUGGUAUGGUACACUUAUGGGGGCGGGGUAGUGUUCUUUACUUACAAUUGAUGUGGCCUUGUCGGCAUUACUUUAUGCAAUAUGACAAUCAUGGCCUUGUCGGCACUACUUCAAGCAAUGUUUAUAUUUGUGUAUUUGAUUAUGUGAAUUAUGAUGAUAUAUAUCUACAUUUUAAGCAAUGUCAAAAUAUAUAUGUUCUAAUGAUGUUAUGUAGGUAAUCAUGUUAGACUAUGACUUUGACCUUUUAUGUAAAGUCUUACGGUUGAAUCUUGUUUAUUCCUACUUUACUAUAUAUGUCUAUGCUUGUCACAUUGAUGAUGAUAUGAUAAUGUAUAGGAUGACUUGAAGAUGAUAUAGUUUUAUUUAUGUGUUUGAAUGGCAUAUAUUAUGAGUUAAAGUGAAGUAUGUGGUGUCUUGUCUUGGUUGACUUGUGUCCCUUACUUGAUGUAUAUAUUAUUAUGGAUAUGUGAUGUCUUGACUUAGGAUUUUAAAGAUCUUAGGUUUGAAUGAAGGAAUUACAUCUGACCUUAAAUGAAGUUAAGAGGGUCUUUUAUGUGAAAACUUAAACUUAGUGGUAAGUUUAUGAAUGUUGAAGUCAUAAGCCGAAAUGUUAUUCUUCAAAGUAAAGGAAUGAUAGACUUAAGGUUAAUUAAUUGACUGGAAUGACAACAUAUUAAUUCUUAGAAAAGUCAUCAUGAGAUUCUAGUAGACAUUGAAAGGUAGCCUAAGGAGGACCUCUUUGUUACGGUAAAUGUAAUAGGAUUAUAAACUUUUUAUGGAAUCCUUUUAUGUGAACCUUAAGUGUAAAUUACUAUAUGAGAACGAAGGCUAGCACUGAGUGAGUAUGGUAAGGGAAGUAAUUCUAGUUAAGAAUGCGACUAGAUUACAAAGCAUGUCACUCAUAUUCCUUAACCAAGUGCCUACAUGGGAUGUGUCUAAGUUCUACCAUUAGAAAGUAGAACACCCUCAAUGGAUUAGGUUAUAACUCCGUAUUCCAUGUCUAUCUAUCAUGAUCUAUGUCGGUUAUUUCAUGUUCUCAUCAUCUAGGAUAACUUACUAGCAUCAGAGAAGUUCUAUGAAGUUUAGGUAGUAUAAGACGCUAUCUAGACAUUGCACAAUAGACUUUGAAGGUGAUAGUUGGAGUCCCUAGGUCAUGUUCAAGACCAUUACUUGAAUGUCCUUUAUGUAAUGUAUAAAACUCUUAAUGAACGAAUAAACUAAUUACCUAUGUUAUGAAGCAUAUAGAUGGAAUAAGUCUUUAUCUAGAGUAGUUGGUUUUCUAUUUAAGGUGUGAAGGCGGAAUAGGAAUGGUCCGAUCUUAAGAAGUCUUAAGGAUUAGUUAGGUAGUCUUGAAGAGGUCAAUCAUGGACGUUAUCUACUUGAUCUACUUAAGUAAGUCUUUUGAUAGCCAUUGAUAAAGAAAUAUCAUAUUAUAUAUAUGUUGAUACACUUGGUUAGAAUGAUUCCACCCUAGGUAGUCCAUAGGAUAUCUUAAGCAUGUGUAUAAGGGAUUAUAUGUGCGGUCGUUUCACAAAUAAGUCAAAUGAGACUUAGAGUCACCUUUGGUAAAAGAGUCUUGCAUUAAUGUUUAUGAUGUCUUCUAAGAGUGUAUGUGACAAAUCAUAAGUAGUCUUAAGGGUCAUUUAGGUAUGCCUAGAGAGGUUGUAUAUGUGGUCUCUCUUGGUGUUACAUAAGUGAGUCUUAGGAUAGCUUUAAGUGGGAAAAUUACAUAUUAGAAGAUGUGAAGGCGGAAGACGAGCAACUUCACUGUACAAUGAAGGGACUUCACUGUAACAGUGAUUCGAGUUACUGGAAAGUGACUUAUAAAAAUGUGAUCUUUGGCUUAAAUGUUAUCUUAUGUGUUUCUAUUUUGUUAAAUGUUUUUCUUAUAAUUAUAAUAUCAUUUUUAAAUGAAAAGAUGCAUAUUUCUGCUAAAUGUAUAUUUUUAUUAUUUUUAUCUGUUAUGCCAUACUUAGUACAUGUAGUUAUACUAAUCCAUGCUUUUAUCUUUCUCUAUAGUAGUUGGUAGGUGAGGAGCUUUUGCGAAGUGAAGACUUAGAUCGUAGGAUCGUUCAAGAGAAGUUUAAGUAUGUCCUAAUUUAACUUGAGGGCAUAUAUGUUUUUUAUUUGAAGUACUGUAAUAGACUGACUAUAUCUAUACUAGAUUUGAAGUAUAGGCCGUGUCCAAAGUAUUCUUGUGUUUUAAGAUGAUGACAUUGAGACUUAGUAUUUUCUCUUGCUUUAUAUGAAGGAGUUUUAAGACUAUGAAGUAUGUUUGUGAAAAGUUUUAAUUCCGCACUACUAUUCACUAUGUUUAUGCGAUGAAUGAUAUGUAUGGUCUUGUACAAGACCUCCUAGAGGUUAAGUACGCCGGUUGCAAUCCAAUAUUUCUUCUAACUUGGAGGAUGUCAUUUCUGGAUGUGAAAUUCAAGAACCCUUGAAGAACUUUAAGGUUGUUGGUUUAGUCUUUAAGAUAAAAGAGAGAGAGAGAGAGAGAGAGAGCUAGAAUUAAUUCUCAUUUUUAUGUAUAAAAUGGGUGAAAUGAUCAUCUCAUAUUGGAUUUAUAUGGAUCUUUAUUAACCACAAAAAUAUCCUCUAGAACCUCCUCAUUUUUUGUCAAUUUUUAGCCACUAAUUGGUCAAGUAGGUGAUGCACCUUCUUAUUUACAUCAGGUAUAUCAAAAGGUGAAACUAGAUGAAGCACCUACUUGCUUUCACUUGGGCUUUACCUAUAUACAUAUAGCUCAAGUAGGUGAUGCAGCUGCUAGCAUAAUCAAGCCAAGGAAUAAAGUCAAGUAUUUUACUCCGUUUUCUUAAUAUUAUUAGUUUUUCCUUCAACUUAGAACUUAACUUCAACUUUAAGCUCAAUUACUACCUUAAUGUAUCUAGUUUAAAUAAUUAUGUUGGAGUUAACUUACAGUACAAAAGUUGAAACGUUGAAGGCAUCACAUCACUUCCCGAGAUAGUUUAAGCCAAUACUAAUCAUAUAAGGAAUAUGGUCCCUCACGUAUACUAUAAGUCCAGUAUAACAAGAAUAGAACAAUAUUAUCCGUAAUACGGGCUGGUACAAAAAAAUCAUGUUGAGCUCAUAUUUGGAUGGAGAAGGUAGUUCCUCCUUAUGUUAUAUGAAAUGAUGAGCUCUUAUGUGUUAUGAAUUGUUGGUUAGUUCCAGUGUUUUUAUCCUAUGAUUAUGUGUUGAAAGGAGUUGAGGGUUCCUACAUGAGCUAUGACUCAUUAUGAUAUUGCUUGUCAUUGGGAUUCUAAUCUUGAUUCUUCCUUCCUAUUCCCUUGAACAGUUUAAGGUUUCACUUGGGGAUGAAUGUUCCUAAGACGAGGAUAUUGUAACACACCAAAAAUUCUAUGACCUAGCUUAGAGCCUCACAACAAGAUUUAUGACGAUUCUAGACCUAAAUAAGUCUAAAUAACUUCAUUGAGAAAUCUUAGAGCCAAAACACUAAGAAAUGACCAUAAUGUCCAGUAAAGUAGUAACCUAAACUAGGGUGGUGCUAGAGGUGUAAGAGUUGUUCAAAAAGGGAUUUUAAGGGUUUAAACUUGUGGAGGUUAUGGAUAGGGUAUAAGAAAUAAUAAAGGGUCUAAGAGUCAAGGCGAAGGGAGGAGUGCCCACGCUUUAGGGGCAAGACAAGUCGAAAGGCUCAGACUGCCCCCAAAGGGAGGCUAUAGCCUCAACCUUCAGGAGCAUGACCAGGGCUCAUGGUCAUGACAACGGCCAAGUGGGGAGCUCGUGAAAAUGCCUUGCUGAUGGAUGAGGAAUGCCACCUUGUACUAGCUACUAUCCAAGGCACCAUGAGUCACUUCAAGACGCGUGGUGCACUUGAAGGAAGGAUUUGGUUGCCCAUGGUAUUGCCUUAAAAGUUUUGAAAAUGCGUGGUUUUGAGGAAGAUACUGACCAAAGAACCACGAGCCACCUGACGGGCCGUAGUGCAUGUUCACGAAAAGAGGGAGGGACUCGUGAAGUGUAUAUAGAAAAUAUUUUAGGUGUCACAUUGAGGGAGCUACUUCCACAAACUCUAAAACCAACCACCAUGAGUCAUUAAGCACUUCACGGCUCGUGAAGUGGGGCGUGAAAUUGCACGGGGUUUUCAACUUGAGGUCAUGUUGGACUAUGAUUUUAAAAGUCCAACAUAAUCAUGGGUAGUUUGGGUAUUUUGGGGGUUGACUAUUUAAUGGUUUUAGGUAAAUUAUAACCCCAUUCCAACUUCUAAAUUCAAACACAAAUUGAGACCCAAUUUCUCCCAUCUCUCUAUACAUUCUCUCUCAACCCCCAACCUCCAUUGAAGAAACCUUGAAGCUUGAAGAAGAAUACCUAAUACCUUAAUGUUCGACUAAAAUUCUUGACUAUUUAUAUGUAAGAUAUGGUUUAUUUUAUUCUUGGGAUUCCUUUCCCUAAGAGGUCCCUCCAAAAGAUGAUUUCUAAAUUCCCCAAAAACUAGGGUUUUCCUCCCUACAUAGUUCUUCUUUGAAAAUGAAAUUACGAAUUAGUUGUGAUGAAUUAUGAUAAAUUUAUGUAUUUUAAGUAUAUAUUGGUGGUUAAUUGAUUAUUUCAAAUUAUUUCUUCUUGGACCCAUGUCUUUCACCAAUUUUCCCCAAAUCUUUUAUUUUGUAAGGUGAAGUUGAAGGGGACGAACAUGAUAAUGGUUUACUUUGAUGUUAACUAUGAAAUUACUUCAUGAAUUACCUUUUUUUAUGCAUUGGUUAUAAAUUAUUUGGUGAUUGAAGUGUGAAGUCCCAUGAAGGGAAAGAAGGUAUGAUUGUUGACUCAUUCUUAGAUAGUGAUGAUUCUAUGUCUAAUGUGUUGUUGUGAUGUUUACGAAAAGUAUUAUGUUAUAUAUGUUGAUUAUAUGAUUGAAAGUAGUUUUCAUGAUUAUAAAAAAUUAAGUGAAAGGUUUACUCACUUGUUUAUGGUUCCUAAAGUGAAAGGUGUAACACUCCGAAAGUACAUGACCUAAGAUAGAUACUCACAUGAUUAAAUAAACAUUAAAACACUGUUUCUAAGCCUAAAUGAUGUUUAUAAACUAUUUAGGAUGUUUUAGACUCAAGGUGUCAGGAAACGUCCAUGACGUCCGGAAGCUAGUAUAUUGAAUUACUAAGAUGACCUUAGGUUUUGUGAAGGUUUGGAUGUGUCAUAUGAAGUCUAAAACUUGUAUAAAUACUUUUAAUAGGUAAAAAAAUGUAUAUAGGGUAAAAAAUUCUAGAUCCGACCCCCCAAGGAUAGCCCUAGGGGUCCACGAAAGGACCCAAAACUUAGCCAAGCAAGCUGCCAAAGUACCAAUCAAAUUGAACUUGGCUGAAAAACGUCUGCAUUGCGGACUUGGUCCUCUGGAAAAAUAAUCAAUUCUGCAUCGUGGGCACAUCGCUGGACUAUUCUGUCUCAAUAAUUAAUCUAGAAAAAUCUUGCGGAAGAUGCUCCGCAUCGCGGACUUAUUCCCCAACAAAAAUCUGAAUUUUAGAAUUAAAGUUUGACUUCAUUGAAGAUCAACUUAUGUGAGGGUUAUUUUAGGUAUUUCAUGGGGGCCUACUUAUUUUAAGUCAGUUUUCCUUCAAAUUUACUCACUCAAAUUAAAUCCCCAAAUUAAAACCAAAAAGCUCUCACCUCUCUCUACUUUCACUCUUUAUUCAACCUCCAUUAAAGAAAUAAGAAAGCUUGAAGAAUAAGAAAAAUUUCCUUAGUAUUUCACUUGAAUUUUGUGGAUUAAGCUUCAUUAAGGUAUGGGUUCUUCACUCUUGGGAUAAAUUUUCUCAAGAAGUACUUUCAAAGUUGAUUUCUAAAUCACCCAAUUCUUAGGGUUUUAUUCUAUAAAUGGGUUUUCUUCUAAAGUUAAAAUUGAUGAUUGAUUAUGUAUAAUUGUGCUAACCCAUGACCAAAAAAGUGUAGAAUGUUUAGUAAUUGAUGUUAAUUUAUGGGGAUUUCGAUCGAUUUAUGUCUUUACCCCUAAUUUCCCCAAAUCUUGGAUCUUGCUUAUAUUUUUAUGUGAAUUGAUUAGUGUAUUCAUUGUUAGACUUGUUUUAUCUAUUCUAAUUCGUUCAGGUUAAUGUAUUGUUGUGAUUCGAUCUAUUUCUUCAAGAAUCCAUGAUGAACCUCUUCCCCCUAACCCUAGGUUAUAAAUUGAAGUUAACUUGAAUACUGAUGAUGCAAUUGACCUAGUUAUUGUGUUAUUUACUAUUGAAUGUUGUUCUUACACCUAUUAUUGAAUGGGAUUUGUUUGUUUAUGGUAAGACCAUGAUGAUGGAUUUUGAAGGAGAUUGGGUAAGUAAUUGUUAUCGUAAAUCUUUACUUUAAUUAUGAUAGCUUGUACUUGGUGAUGAAUUUCAAUUGAAGUAUGUCUUGUAAUUGGAUAAAGUAGGUGUGGUAUGAUGAUACAAUUGAAAUGUAUUGAUAAUGAGACUUUGAGAUUAUGCUUAUGAUGUAAUCAUAAAAGUUUGAUUAUGAAGUACCUCUGUGCCUUACUAUGAUAUAAUGAUGUUAAUGUGCUAACCUUACACAUGAAGGUUUAUUGAAAGGUGUUCUCAUGCAAUUCCUAUUGAGAUAAUUAAUAUGACAAUACUAGGAGUUAUUCUCCUAUGACCUAAACUUAGUUAUGAUCAUUAAAGUAAGACAUUUUGAAAAGGGACUCUAGCUUAGCAUCGAGUGAAGUAGUAAUGAGGAGUGUCCCUUCCCAAGUAAGGAAGAUAGGUUCACUAUUGUACUCAUGAGAUUGGAAACUAUAAUUUCAAAGGUAUAAAGAGGGUCCCAAGUAUAUCUCCUAGUUAUUGAACUAUGUUGCCUCCAUAUGAAUACUAGUUGAUCUAUUAACCUACACACUAUGGUCAUGUUUUGUACUGUUUUGGAAAGUAUUCUACCUUCUUUUUGGUGUAGGGUUUCAUUACACCGGAUUCCAGAUUAGCUCAUGUGGUCUAAUGUUGGUUAAGACAAGAUUUUCCCGAAUGUAAAAUUAAGUAAUAGAUUGAACUCUAACUAGGAGGACUUAAUGGGUUUGACAUAGUCUAGGUAAGGCUAUGGGACUCUACGUAUACGUUGCACUAGUUGGCCUUGAAGGAAGUCCUAGGAGGAUAUCCUUAGGCUCUUAUGCACAUAUGAGAUGAAUGACAUGCUUAUGUUGAUUCUUAUGUUAAUGGUCUAUAUUUCUUAAUAAUGUGUAAGAACACUUGUGAUACUAUGCAUUUGAAGUUAGACAUUAUUUAUGAUCCUUUGGUUUGUUUACUUGGUUGAGUGGGGUUAUGAGGCUUCACCUGAUCAUUGAACUAGUAAUCUUGGUAAGGAGUUAUGAGUAAGGGUUUUACUUAUGUUAUAAUGUUAUGAACUCUUGAACAUGAUAUAUUGUUAUAAGAUGAUGUUAGGGUUGCUUUGUCUAUGGUUCUAAUAUGAUAUACACAUGUUGACUUGGUUAUACUUGAUGAUGUUGGUCGUGUGUUGAUAUGUUAUGUUCUUAAUGAGUAUAUGAUUAUUGACUUAUAUGUGUUCUUGAUUGUGCAUAAGGGUUUUCAAACUAACUUGGCAUUGUUUUGGACAAAAGUCCGUUUUAGCAUGAUUUCUAUAUAAUGUGUGCAUAUGUUUCCAUAGUUAGUACAAGUGAUGUGCCCCUAUUUCUCCCUUUUUCCCAAACAUUUUUGUGUUUUGAUCGUUUAAGGGUUCGUGACCAAUUUACAUGUAAGGCUUGGAUCGUUUCUCCAAGUGUGGGUAUGUCCUCAAGAUCCGAAGAUGAUGCCUUUCUCAUUCUACCUAAGUCAGUUGCGAGUCUAACAACGUUCGUGUCACACUUAUUUUUCAAGACAUUUUGGUAAUCCCUAAGUGUCAAUUAUACAUUUCUAUAAGAGCUAUGACCGAUUUGUUCUACUCCGACAUAAAUUGUUUUAUAUGAGACAUCUCUAUUAGACACUAUAUUGUUUAUAUGACAUAAAAGUGGAAGCCUACGUAAGAUUCACAUGUGAGGAGUCUAUGUCAACUCCCUAUGUAUACACUACGUGUAAGUGAGAGGUCAUGUAAACCUCAUAAUGUAGAUGUAUAUGAAAAGUUUUAAAUUUUAUGCACUUCAUAACCUAUGAUAUGUAAUGACGAUUUCUAGGAGGCUAGUCUUAGUCCUCUCCAGGGACGACAAGUCGGUUAUGUCUAUGGUGCUCCUCAUGAUGUGUUAAAAGGAUUGUUCUCACAUAUGGUAUCCUAAGAUCUAUUAUGAUAGGAGGUUUACAUAAGGUCUUAGUAAAGGCUAAUGUGAACUAUGUGUUGACUAAAGAUGGUUACUAAAUAGAAUAGAUGCUUAGCACCGAAAGGGCAUAUAAAUGAGAUGGAGUUCUCACAUUUUGCAAGUCCAUCUCCCUACAUGGUUUCCUCAUGUUCAGUAAGUCUGAAUCCCCAAUAUAUGUAUUGUCUCAUGAGAUUGAAACCUCACGUUUAGCAAGUAAGGAUUUCUAUUAACAAUCUACUUGACCCUUAACUAUGUCCACACAUAGUAAUUUAGCUUUGUGGAUCCACCUAGACAAUUAUGUACGAAAGGAUACACCUUAAGAAAGUGUUAACUGUCUCUUUUCAAUAUGUAUCUCUCAUGGUCUCAUGUCAAUUAUUGCAACUUUUUUCCCUAAUGAAAAAGCAAAUGAAUUAAAAAGAUGUGUGAACUCUUAUUAGAUCUUUUUUAAGGGUUUCUAAAUGGUAUGAGGAAGGGUAUUGGAGUUCUCUUAUACAUUGCACUUGUGGGAUACUGAGGGAUGAUUCUAGUAGUGUUCAUUUAUGAUUAUGUUGGUUAUGACUAUGUUGGUAUGUUCUGAGUAAUCUUUAUGAAAAAAACAUGUCAUGAUGUAAUGUGAUAAUAUGCUAUAUGCAUGAAAUGGGUUUCUUAUUGUGAUACUUAGCUUUUAAUAGGGUUAUGGGAUUAUAUUCUUUGCAUUGCACAUGUUUUGCUUGAGUUGCUUACAUGUUGGGUUGAUAUUAUCUUGGGUUUGGCUUAUGAUAUUGCUAUAUGUGCACGUUGAGAUUAUUUAAUACUAAGCAUUGUUGUGACUAAAAUGUUCCUUUACUCGUGCAUUAAUGAUUUUUAUGCUUUUAAACCAUACUUAGUACAUGUGAUGUACUAAACCAUAUUUUGAUCCCUUUUCUCCUAAUAAUAUAGGUUCGAGCAAUUGAGGAGUUCGAAGCCAUUUGCAUGGAAGACUUGGAUCAUUUCCCAAGUUUUUGGUAAGUCCUCAAGUUCCGAGGAUGUUGCCAGAUAUAAAGCUUUAGUAGUUUUGUCUAUGUCUAAACAAAUUUAUUCAUUCCUUCUGUUAAAACUUUGUUGUAACUCUAUAUGUGGUAUAUUAUACUAGUUUAAGGGCUAUGCCAAAACUUUGUAAUUUUCUAUUAGAUGGGUAUAUGUGAGACGAUGCAUUGGACUACUUAAAUGAAUUGAAUAUGCUAAAUGAGAAGUCUAUGAAAGUUUAUACGUGAUGAGUCUAUGUUAACUCCAUAUAUGAUAUCUGAGAAGUGUACUUAUACUUUAUAUGUAAUAGUUUAAAUUUUUUUGCAUUUUUCUCUACCAAUGAUAUGCCAUAAGUAUGCUAAGCUCUAGUGUAACGCCUCUACAUUGAUUAAGACGCCGGUAACACCUAGGAUGUUCUUUGGGUCAUUACACUAAGAGCUUUUUUAUUCAACAUACUUUAACUAAAUGAACAUUAUUCAUUGAAACCAUUUAAGAGAUAAAUAACCAAUUAGGGUACAUCACAUAAUGGUCUUAGAAGACCUAGGGAACUCAUCCUAGAAUUUUCAAGGCCUACUCGUGCCAUGUAUAGAUAGCUUCCCAUUCAACUACCUACACGUUAUAGAUUCUAUCCAAUACUAGAGUGCACAUACCACAUGAUGAGAAUAGGCAUUAACCGAUGUAAACCAUACUAGUUAGGUAUGGAAUAUGGUGUCAUAAGGAUUCCACAUCGUGAAAGGUGUUCUACUUUCCAAAGGUGUAACUAGGACACAUCCCAUGUUUGCACAUGGUUAAGGGAUAUCAAGGGAUUCUCUGUACUCUAGUCUCAUACUCAAGUAGAGCUACUACCACAAGAAUAUCCACUCGGUGCUUUUGCUUGGUUCUCAUAGAGUAAGUUCAUUCACAGAAAUGUAUUAGAGAGGGCGCCAUCAUUCGACCUACCGACCCAUAAUACCUUUGCCAAGAACGGACCUCCAAGGGUUUACCCAUCAAGGUUAAUUAGGAUAGGUGUUAUCACUUUCGUCAAGAUGGUCUCACGUCGUUCCAGCAAACUUAUUUAUAAUUCUAUCAUUCCACACAAGAAGGGCACUAUUUAGGUCUACAGAUCAAGACUUCUUUAUUUAUCUCCUUUUCAUAUUCAAGGUUCCAUAUAAUUCAUUUCUAGAAGGGCGCCACUUUAGGUCUACUGAUCCUAGACAUUCAUUCAUACAUUCAUUCAAUACUAUUUAUUAUCAAGUAGGAAAAACUAAGUCUACCUAACAAGAUACCCUAUCAAUAUGUUGAGACUCUUGAUAGUAUAUCAUCAUCACAUACCUUCAUUUAGAGCAAACAUAAUUUAACCUCACACAUGCACAUACACAAUCUAUCAUAUCCGGGAAAUACCCCCUAAAUGUAACCGGCGUCAUCUCUUCAAAGAGGACUAGGACUAGCCUCUUAUCAUUCAUCAUUAUAUUCAUAAAUUAAAAUGCGGAAAAUUUAAAACUAUUCAUAUACAAUUUUUAAUGAGGUGUACUUAGUCCUUACACAGAAUAUAUUUAUAUCGAUUAUACAUAGACCCUUCAUAUAAGAAGAUUACAUAAUAUUUUAAUUUUGUUGAACAUAUUUAUAUCAGAUACAUAACAUAGUCUUAAAAUGGAUGUCUCAUAUUAAACCAUCUAACGGGAGUCAAAUAAACAUUGGCAUAAGCCCUUACAAAAUGUAUAAAUGCCAAAUAGGUCUUACAACAAUUUCUUGGAACAAGUAGAAUGAAAUGAUUGUCUUUAGACUACAACAAAGAAACAUGAUAGAGUAAUAGCAAGGCAUCAUCCUCAGAGUUGAGGAUAAACCCACACUUGGAGAAAGCCAAGCCAUCCUUCGUAAGUGGUCACACACCCUUCAACGACCGAAACCUAAAAUGUUGGGGGAAAAGGAAGAAAUGGGGUUAGCACAUCACUUGUACAGAGUAUGGAAUCAUAUGUACAUACAAUAUAGAAAUCAUGGUAAAAGGGACAUUUAUUCAAAAGCAUUCAAAGUCACUUUGAAAAGACUUAUGCACAAUCGAGAACCAUACAAGUCAAUAAGCACAUAUUCCUUAAGUCAAGACCAUGUACAUUACAAGACCAACACUAGCAAGUCUAGUAAAGUAAACAUGCAUAUCAACAUAAUUGAGAACAUAACCAAAACAACUCUAUCAUCAAGUUAUAAUAUCAACAAGCAUACAUAAUACUUCAUAACGUCAUAAUCUAAGCAAGACCAUCACUUCCCUAUUAAGUCAACUAGUGCAAUGACUAAGUAAAUGCUCAUAGCCUCACUCAAGCAAGUAACCCUAACAAGAGCUACAAGUAAUGCCCAACUUUUCAUACUAUAUAAUUAAGAUUAGGCAUCAUUAUACUUAAACAAUAGAGACUAACCACAUGUACAUAAGUGAAACCCAUAUCACAUAGUGUCAUUAACAUGUAUGAUCAACAUAUACAUAUCAUUUUCAUUUAUAAGCACAUAAGAACAUCUUUCUAAGACUUCACUCAAGUCUAACUAGUUGAAUGUAUAGGUAGAAUCCCAUACCCCUGCCUAGAUUAAGUCAAACCCCUUAGGUCACCCUCGUUAGAUUUCACUUUAUUACUUCAAUUUACUUUUGGGAAUAUCGUGCCUUAACAGACAUAGACCACGUGACCUAAUGUUAAAUCCAGUGUCAUGAAAACCUACACCGAAAGAAGGCAGACUACUUGCCAAGAUAGUAGCAAUACAUAAACAGAGCAUCUAUGUGGAUCCACUAGCUAGUAUUUCUACGGGGGAAACAUAGUUCAAGAACUAGAAGCAAUAGUUUGGACCCUCUUUAUGAUACAUGCAUUAUAGUAUCCAAUUUUGAUGAUCCAAAGUACACCCUAGUCAUUACUUUGGGUGGCAGCCUCGUACAGGACAAAGACAAGCCUCUUAGCCUUUGUCAUAGCAUAUCAUAGGCAAAAAAAUAUGGAAAAAUUAAAACUUUUACUUAUGUAGCAAUGAUGUUUACAUAGGCCUCUACAUACAUAGGAUUCUAGCAUAAACAACAUACAAUAUAUGGGAAUUUAUUCUAACACUUUGUCUCACAAUAAACCGUCUAUAAAGUGAAUCACAAGAACCUGGGCAUAGCCCUUAGUCUAUUACAAUAUGCCAUAUAGUCUAUAAUGAAAGUCUCAACAUGAAAAUGGAAUAAUUGUCUCAAAACAUAUGCAAAACUAAUAAGGCUUGAUGAGUGGCUUAUACUCGAAACUCACGAGGACUCACCAAUUGACAUUGGAAAGAGCCAAGUCUUUUUCUUCAAUGACCAUGAAUCUCCUCAAUGGCCCGAACAUAACAUGUUUAGGAAAAAGGGAGAAAAUAUCGGUUAGUACAAACCACAUGUACUAAGUAUGGCUCCUAUGCAUAAAAUCAUCAUUGCAUGAGAAAACGACCAUUUAGUCAAAAUCAUGGUUUCUAUCAAUUGAACUCGGCAUUCAUAUAUCAAAAGGAUAAUAAUUCAAUUCAACUAUAUAGUAACCCAACACAUAGAUCACCCAAGCAAUACUUGUGCAAUGCCAAAGAUAGAACCCCAUAAUCCCACCCAAGGCUAAAUAUCACUAUAAGCUACCCACUCCAUACUUAUACCAUAUUCUCAUAAUUCAUCAUAACAUGAUUAAUACAUGAAUACUACUAAUAGAUUAUUAACAUAACCAUAAUCAUAGUGAUAAUCAUAAAAGAACACUACUAGAGUCAUCCUAUAGGACCCCACAUGUGAAAUGAGUAAGAGAAGUCCCAUAUCCUCCCUUACACUAUGUAGAAAUCUUCAAGACAACCCCAAUAAGAGUUCACAUACUUAACUUAUUCAUCAACUUUAUGUUAGGGAAAGAAGUGCAAUAAUCGACAUGAGACCAUCUGAGCCACAUGGAAUUCGGUGUUCAACUCCCACACCGAAAGAGAGAGUUAAUACUUGCCUAAGGUGUAAACAUUCAUACAUAGCUAUCUAGGUUGAUCCACUAAGCUAGAUUAUUAUGUGGGCACAUAGUUAAGGGUCAAGGAGAUUGCUUCUAGAAACCUUAAUUUACUAACAUGGAGAUUUUCAUGUCAUGAGACAACACAUAAUUAGGGAAUCCGUACUUACUUACGUGAGAAAACCCAUAUGGGAGGUCGGACUUCCUAAACUUGAGACCUCCAUAUCAUUACAUGCCCUUUCAGUGCUAGCAAUUAUUCCCUUUAGUAAUCCUAUUAUUUCAUCAUACAAGUUCACAUUAGUAAUUUUUUAACUUAACACUUAAUUAUAAUCAUGAGAAACUACUUUCAAUCAUAUAAUUAUACUACCAUAACAUACUUGCAUAAUUCAUAACCAAUUCAAUAGUCUGGGGUUAAGGGUGAGGAUACAUAGCAUCAACAUCGCAACCACCCAUUAGACUUAGAAGCAUUGCUAUCGAAGUAACUCUUAAUUUCAUAAUUGAAUCCAAGAAGAACCAAUCAACGUACCUCGUUACCCUUCCAAGAACGUUCAUACUCCAUUACAAAGAAUACAGAUACAAGGUACAUUUAACAAGCAAUUACAUAAUUAGCAACAGUGUAGUCAAUAUUCAUAUUCAUAAUCUUCAUAAUUAACCAUAUUAAUUCAAGGUUUUCAUGAAAUUGGGGAAAGGACAUGAGUCUAGAGAAAUCUCAUACGAAAUCAUCAAUUAACCUUCAUAUUAUACUCAAACAACAUUAAUUCGUCAUAAUCAACCACAAUUGAUUCAUAAUUUUGAUUUUCAAAGAAGAACCAUGUAGAAAAAAAACCUAGAUUUUGGGGGGAUUUAGAAAUCAUCUUUUGGAGGGACCUCUUGGGGAAAAAGAAUCCCAAGAGUAAAACAAACCAUACCUUAUUGAAGAAUUAGCAGGAAAUUGAGUAGAAAUUUAAGGGAUUUGGUCUUCUUAUUCAAACUCAAAACUUCUUCAAUGGAGGUUGAAUAGAGAGAGAAAGUAGAGAAAAGUGAGAGCAAUUGUGCUUUGCUUUGGGGUUUUGCUUUUAGUGAGUAAAUGUGAGGAAAACUGAAUGAAAAUCAAUCUAUUUUCCCCUUAUGAAAUUCCCAAAAGACCCUCACAUAAUUUGACCCUUUAAUAAAGUCAAACUCGAAUUCUAUUUCCAGAUUUUUCAUCGGGGAACAAGUCCAGGUUGAGGAGCUAUUCACGCAAGAUUUUCGAAAUUAAUUUUCGUGACAGAGGAGUCCAAGACCUGCCCGCGACGCAAGCUUCACUUUUGAUCUUGGGUGAACCAAGUCCACGACACAACUUGUUCCCUCCAAGAACAAAACUUGCUUCCUCUUCGCAGGUUGCUUGGUCCAAUGUAGGGUCCCUUCGUGGACCUUUUCGGUGAUAUUUGAGUAGCCGGACCUGGAAAUUUUCACACUAUAUACUAAUAUUAAUCAUUUUAAGUCAUUCUACAUGUUUUGGACAUCAUAUAACCCUCCAAAACCUUCACCAAACCUAGGGAUAUAAACUAGUUAAAUUUUUGCUAGUUUCCAGACGUUAAGGAUUUUUCUUUAUUGUUAUCACUCCGAAACAUCUCAAACAAGAUAUUACACUUAUUUAUGUCUUAUAUAAUCAUUUUUCAACAUAUAAUGCUAUAUUAUAGGUCAUGGAACUUUAUAGGGUGUUACAAUAUCCUCCCUUUGGAACAUUCGUCCACGAAUGACACCCUAAACCUUCAAUUAGGAAAAACAAAAAAGACUAAAGACUAGCAGCCAACCAACAAUCAAUAUCAUAAUGAUUCACAGAUCAUUGGAGGAAAUCUCAACUCCUUUCAACACUUAAACAUAGCAUCAAAAAUAGGAACUUAAUUCACAACAUACCAUAACACUAGCUUAACUUUUCAUAUCACAUGAGGUUCUAGCUUAUCCAUUUCAAUUAAGAGCGUAAUAUGAACAUUAAGGGUUGACAUACUGGGUUCUUAUCAACACAUGCCCGAAACACUUCUUAUGAACACACAUAGACCACUAGAUAAACACUACAUAUUUACAAGAAUAUGCACAUACUAGAUAAACAUGAUAUGUUCAAUGUUUUGCAUUUAAAUCAUUUAAGAGGAAAGCCACUAACCUUACUUUGGGUAGGAUUAGGGGAAAAGAUAUGAGGAUAGUGGGUCUUCACGUCAGUCUCGGCUCCCACGUUGCACCAUCAACAAAGUGGUUCCUCCAUAGAACUUAUAUGGAGGCAACCUCCUUAUUCCUCAAUUUCUUUAUCUUUGUCACGACCCAACCCGAUAGGCCGUGAUUAGUGCCCGUUUUGGACACCCACAUACAAACCUGCUAAGUAUGACCAACUGAAACUAAGACAAUAUGGAAUUUAAUCAAAUCAAGCCAACCCCAACGUCAUAUAUAUAUAUAAGAGGACCUGUCUCAUAAGGAGUCAUAACCAUUCAACCAUAACAGCAUACGCGAGCCGACAAGGCCGCCACUAUUCAAAGCAUAAUGAUGUACGCAGCCGACAAGGCUGCCCCUGUACAAGCGGACAUCCCAAACAAACCAUGUCCAGACCAUUAUCCAAAACAUAUAUAUACAACCCACAUAAUGUCCACAGACCUCUAAGAGUACAUUAGUGAAACUUGACGGGACAGGGCCCCGCCAUACCCAUAGACGAGCAAAAGACUACACAAAAGUUAUGUACCAAAACGACUGGGCUCCGGAACAGUGGAGCUCUCCCAAUCAGCAGAGUAGAUAUCCUAGGCGGGAGGAUCACUGAACUGCGCGUCUACACCUGCGGGCAUGAAACGCAGCCCCCCGAGGAAAGGGGGGUCAGUACGGACAAUGUACUGAGUAUGUAAAGCAUAAGGUAAAGAUGACAGGAUACCAAUGUGGCAAGUCGAAACAAAAUAUCGCUACACAUAUACUUUUUAAGUGAAAAUCAUGCAUAUAUUUAACAUUUAAGGUGCCCAGCUUCCCUAGUAAGGGGCUCGGCAAAAUAAUCAUCACGUCAUCUCCGUCAUCAUCAUCAUCAUAACCAUCCUCAUCACCAAUCAUAUAUAUAAUAUACAUACCCGGCCCACUAGUGAGGAACUCGGUGACAUAUGCAAGAAACUCCGCACGAACAUUACCCGGCCCG
rnacentral:lncRNA from 1 species